rnacentral:rRNA from 1 species
UACGGAGGAUGCGAGCGUUAUCCGGAUUUAUUGGGUUUAAGGGGUGCGUAGGCGGUCCGUUAAGUCAGCGGUAAAAUUGCGGGGCUCAACCCCGUCGAGCCGUUGAAACUGGCAGACUUGAGUUGGCGAGAAGUACGCGGAAUGCGCGGUGUAGCGGUGAAAUGCAUAGAUAUCGCGCAGAACUCCGAUUGCGAAGGCAGCGUACCGGCGCCAGACUGACGCUGAGGCACGAAAGCGUGGGGAUCGAACAGG